rnacentral:rRNA from 1 species
AUAUCAAUAAGCGGAGGAAAAGAAACCAACAGGGAUUGCCCUAGUAACGGCGAGUGAAGCGGCAACAGCUCAAAUUUGAAAUCUGGCUUCGGCCCGAGUUGUAAUUUGCAGAGGAAGCUUUGGGCGCGGCACCGACCGAGUCCCCUGGAACGGGGCGCCAUAGAGGGUGAGAGCCCCGUAUGGUCGGACGCCUAGCCUGUGUAAAGCUCCUUCGACGAGUCGAGUAGUUUGGGAAUGCAGCUCAAAAUGGGUGGUAAAUUUCAUCUAAAGCUAAAUAUUGGCGGGAGACCGAUAGCGCACAAGUAGAGUGAUCGAAAGAUGAAAAGCACUUUGAAAAGAGAGUUAAACAGUACGUGAAAUUGUUGAAAGGGAAGCGCUUGCAAUCAGACUCGCUCUCGGUUGAUCAGCGACGCCUUCUGGCGCGUGCACUCUGCCGUUUGCGGGCCAGCAUCAGUUGGAGCGGUGGGACAAAGGCGGCAGGAAUGUGGCUCCCUCGGGAGUGUUAUAGCCUGCUGCGUCAUGCCACCAGCCCCGACUGAGGUCCGCGGUUCGCCUAGGAUGCUGGCUUAAUGGUUGUAAGCGA